rnacentral:rRNA from 1 species
GAACCUGAGAGUUUGAUCCUGGCUCAGAACGAACGCUGGCGGCAUGCCUAACACAUGCAAGUCGAACGGAGGCUUCGGCCUCAGUGGCGCAC